rnacentral:rRNA from 1 species
UACGGGGGGGGCAAGGCGUUGUUCGGAAUUACUGGGCGUAAAGGGCGCGUAGGCGGCUCGGCAAGUCGGGUGUGAAACCUCCAGGCUCAACCUGGAGACGCCACUCGAUACUGCUGUGGCUAGAGUCCAGUAGGGGAGCGUGGAAUUCCUGGUGUAGAGGUGAAAUUCGUAGAUAUCGGGAGGAACACCUGUGGCGAAGGCGGCCAUCUGGACAACUACUGACACUGAGACGCGAAAGCGUGGGUAGCAAACAGGG